UCCUACGGGGGGCGGCAGUGGGGAAUUUUGGACAAUGGGCGAAAGCCUGAUCCAGCAAUGCCGCGUGUGUGAAGAAGGCCUUCGGGUUGUAAAGCACUUUUGUCCGGAAAGAAAUCCUUAAUCCUAAUAUCGUUGGGGGAUGACGGUACCGGAAGAAUAAGCACCGGCUAACUACGUGCCAGCAGCCGCGGUAAUACGUAGGGUGCAAGCGUUAAUCGGAAUUACUGGGCGUAAAGCGUGCGCAGGCGGUGAUGCAAGACCGAUGUGAAAUCCCCGGGCUUAACCUGGGAACUGCAUUGGUGACUGCAUCGCUAGAGUAUGGCAGAGGGGGGUAGAAUUCCACGUGUAGCAGUGAAAUGCGUAGAGAUGUGGAGGAAUACCGAUGGCGAAGGCAGCCCCCUGGGCCAAUACUGACGCUCAUGCACGAAAGCGUGGGGAGCAAACAGGAUUAGAUACCCUGGUAGUCCACGCCCUAAACGAUGUCAACUGGUUGUCGGGCCUUCAUUGGCUUGGUAACGUAGCUAACGCGUGAAGUGACCGCNUGGGA
rnacentral:rRNA from 1 species